CGACAGUGAUAUUGGAAACAGCAUGGGUUCUAUUUUUCCUUGCACGAUGUCGCGGCUGAAAGAACACUAAUUAACGUGUUAAGGUUAUAAAUUCCAUUCCUAACGAAGGUCAAGAAACCACCGAUGUUAAGUUACACGAAUCCACGUUAAUUUGACUAACGAUAUUAUUUUUCCAAUAAAUAAACGCAUAACAUAUUUCGUUCAUAUUGUUCUUCUAUUUUACGGGAAAAACGGAGGGGUGUGUUGGAUUUGGGGAUGGAAGUGAAGGGGGGAGGUAAAGUACUAAGGGGGAAAUACAAAGAAACGAUAAAAUCAUAAAAUUAAUCCUCCAAUAAAAACACAACGUAAGUUUUUUUCCGUUACUUACGUUACAGUAAUCGUGUAGACAGAGUUACGUGUGCGUACGUGACUUAUGUCUCGGGAUACUACUGCAAAGUACUUAUGCAAAGAAAAGAAAGGAAAAAAAAAAAGGAAAAAGAAAAAAAGAAUGGAUUUUUCUUUAAUGGAGCAACGUUAUGCGAUGCGUCCAGACAAUUAAUCACUCUAUUACCUUAAUCAUAGUCGUAACAACAGAUGACACCGAUCUACGGGAAUUGAAUUCCUCCUUAGCUCGUGGAAUUUCUAUUCCACCGUUAAAUCCGAGAGAGAUUUUAUUACACUUGUUUCUCUUUUUGCUUAGACUCCGAUCAGAUUUAUUCGAUCGAUUACUCUCUAUUACAAUAAUUGCCGCCUCGUGUUCCUAGUUGUAUUGAACGUGACUAUGCGAACGGUGCGAGACAAGUCUCGUGGGACACCAGACGCGUAUUAUCAAGUUUUUGCUGAUCUUAGCAUGACGAGUCUAACUAUCACGCGCAUCAUUGUCUACCCUAUGAUUAUAGACGACAAUUUUCAGAAAAUGAGGGAAGACAAUUGAUAUUUUCUUCGUUUGCUUCCGUUUCUGAUCCUGUCAGAGAUCGUUCAUCGUAAUUUAAACAAACCUGACGUCAUUGCGUUCAUCGAUAGAUCCGGAUUCCAUCGCGGAAGGAUCAUCUAAUCGGCAAUUAUUAAAGACGACCACCACUGAAAAAGAAAAAUAAUAAAAUCGACAUUUAAAAUGUGCAUUAAAAAUUUGUCAAAGAAAAAACAACGACGAGAAAAAAAUCUGAUAAUAAUCGUCAUUCGAUGUCGUUUUAUAUGGAAAAAUCUUUCGAUCGUGCUGACGCAAUUAAAGGAUGACGAUAAAUUUCGUGAAAUAGAACGAUAAUACCGGUAUCCGAUCAUAAAUAUUAAAUCUUUGACUGUUAUGCGUCAUAUAUGCGUUUGGUAAACGUUGCCAAUGUGGACUAUCGACGCAUAUACGUGUUUUUUAAUAUGAAUGUAAAAUAAAAUGUAAUGUUAAAAACUUUAA
rnacentral:lncRNA from 1 species